rnacentral:rRNA from 1 species
AUUGAACGCUGGCGGAAUGCUUUACACAUGCAAGUCGAACGGCAGCACGGGGCAACCUGGUGGCGAGUGGCGAACGGGUGAGUAAUAUAUCGGAACGUGCCCAAUCGUGGGGGAUAACGUAGCGAAAGUUACGCUAAUACCGCUAUACGAUCUACGGAUGAAAGCGGGGGAUCGCAAGACCUCGCGCGAAUGGAGCGGCCGAUAUCAGGAUUAGGUAGUUGGUGGGGUAAAGGCGUCACCAAGCCAACGAUCUGUAGCUGGUCUGAGAGGACGACCAGCCACACUGGAACUGAGACACGGUCCAGACUCCUACGGGAGGCAGCAGUGGGGAAUUUUGGACAAUGGGCGCAAGCCUGAUCCAGCCAGUUCCGCGUGAGUGAAGAAGGCCU